UGAUUACUCCCUUCGUUCCGAAUUAUUUGUCUUGGAUUUGUCUAGAUAUCUAGAUAAAUCCAAGACAAGUAAUUCGGAACGGAGGGAGUAUUAU
rnacentral:pre_miRNA from 1 species